GCUAAUUGCAUCAAUGUUUAAAUAAUUGAUGCAAUAUCGACUAUGUCGAAUAAAAUUCUAGGUAGAAUUAUGAUAAUGACAUUGUCUGCCUAUGUGUCUUGACCAAAUUACGUGCCAGCAGUCGCGGUAAUACGUAGAAGACUAGUGUUAUUCAUCUUUAAUAGGUUUAAAGGGUACCUAGACGGUAUAUCAAGCCUGCAAUAUGGGACUAAUGUACUAGAGUUACAUACGAGGGGGUUUAAAAGUACUGCUGGUGUAGAGAUGAAAUUCAGUCAUACCUUAUUUUGUAAGAAAUAGUACGGCACAGGUAUAGGUGAAAGCAUCUCCUUAUGUGAUAACUGACGUUGAAGGACGAAGGCUUUUUGUAGCGAACAGGAUUAGUUACCCCAAUAGUCAAAGCAGAAAAUGAUGAAUGUCAUAGAUUAGACAUAUAAUAGUUUAUUCUAUAAAUGAAAGUGUAAGCAUUCCACCUCAAGAGUAAUUUGGCAACAUUGGAACUGAAAUCAUUAGACCGUUUCUGAAACCAGUAGUGAAGUAUGUUGUUUAAUUUGAUAAUCCGCAAAAAACCUUACCACAAUUUGAAUAUUUAGAUUAUUAUUCCCUUUUUUAACAAGAAGGGAGGAGAAAUCUAUUUACAAGCGUUGCACGGCUGUCUACAGUUAAUGUCGUGAGAUUCUGGUUAGUUCCAUUAAUUAACGUAAACCCUUACUUUAUUUUUAUAUAGAGUUGUUCCCCGCUAGAUUGGAUAAGAUAA
rnacentral:rRNA from 1 species